UGCAGUGUAGCAUAGUGGUUAAGGAGCAGGACUUGUAAUCAGAAGGUUAUGGUUCAAUUCCCCUUGCUGCUG